AGAGUUUGAUCCUGGCUCAGAUUGAACGCUGGCGGUAUGCUUAACACAUGCAAGUCGAACGGAAACGAUACUAGCUUGCUAGUAGGCGUCGAGUGGCGGACGGGUGAGUAACGCGUAGGAAUCUGCCUGAUAGUGGGGGAUAGCCCGGAGAAAUUCGGAUUAAUACCGCAUAAUCUAUUCGUAGUAAAGUGGGGGACUUUCGAGCCUCACGCUAUCAGAUGAGCCUGCGUAAGAUUAGCUUGUUGGUGGGGUAAAAGCCUACCAAGGCUACGAUCUUUAGCUGGUCUGAGAGGAUGAUCAGCCACAUCGGGACUGAGACACGGCCCGAACUCCUACGGGAGGCAGCAGUGGGGAAUAUUGGACAAUGGGGGCAACCCUGAUCCAGCAAUACCGCGUGUGUGAAGAAGGCCUGAGGGUUGUAAAGCACUUUCAAUUGUGAAGAAAAGUUAACGGUUAAUAACCGUUAACCUUGACGUUAACUUUAGAAGAAGCACCGGCUAACUCCGUGCCAGCAGCCGCGGUAAUACGGAGGGUGCAAGCGUUAAUCGGAAUUACUGGGCGUAAAGCGUGCGUAGGCGGUUUAUCAAGUCAGAUGUGAAAUCCCCGGGCUUAACCUGGGAACUGCAUUUGAAACUGGUCAACUAGAGUAUGGUAGAGGAAAGUGGAAUUUCUGGUGUAGCGGUGAAAUGCGUAGAUAUCAGAAGGAACAUCAAUGGCGAAGGCAGCUUUCUGGCCCAAUACUGACGCUGAGGUACGAAAGCGUGGGUAGCAAACAGGAUUAGAUACCCUGGUAGUCCACGCCGUAAACGAUGAUAACUAGCCGUUGGGGGGAUUUACCCUUUAGUGGCGAAGCUAACGCGUUAAGUUAUCCGCCUGGGGAGUACGGCCGCAAGGUUAAAACUCAAAGGAAUUGACGGGGACCCGCACAAGCGGUGGAGCAUGUGGUUUAAUUCGAUGCAACGCGAAGAACCUUACCUGCCCUUGACAUCCUCGGAACUUGUCAGAGAUGACUUGGUGCC
rnacentral:rRNA from 1 species